rnacentral:rRNA from 1 species
UACGUAGGGUGCAAGCGUUUAAUCGGAAUUACUGGGCGUAAAGCGUGCGCAGGCGGUUUUGUAAGUCAGAUGUGAAAUCCCCGGGCUUAACCUGGGAACUGCGUUUGAAACUACAAGGCUAGAGUGUGGCAGAGGGGGGUGGAAUUCCACGUGUAGCAGUGAAAUGCGUAGAGAUGUGGAGGAACACCGAUGGCGAAGGCAGCCCCCUGGGUUAACACUGACGCUCAGGCACGAAAGCGUGGGGGAGCAAACAGG